rnacentral:rRNA from 1 species
UUAAUACAACCCCAUGCGGUGGAUCACUUGGCUCGCGAGUCGAUGAAGAGCGCAGCAAACUGCGUGAAUUAAUGUGAUUUGCAGGACACAUUGAUCAUCGAUAUCUUGAACGCAUAUUGCGGUUAUGGAUCGCUUCCAUGACCACGCCUGUCUGAGGGUCGGUAUU